CCCUCAGGCCUCGCAGCCCAUCUCAAGGUCAAAGUGAAAUGUCGUGGGUCAAAGAGAAAGAAAAAGAAACUGCACAGAGAAGGGCAAUGAGCGAUUAGAUCCGUGCCUCACAGGAAUCACUGGGCCAGAGUGGAGCUGCGGUCGGCUCCUGUGUGCUUUUCUGUGCUUUUCAAAUGAUGACAGUGAACCCAUGUUGCAUAAGGGAAAUGUUCAAACUACGGAAAAGUGCAGAGAAUCGUACGACGACCCCACUGCCUGGUACCAGCCUCAUCAAUCAGCAACACGGAAUCCCUUCAGUGUGAGGGGGUUUAAGAAUCCCUAAUUUCAGCAGGACAUGUGGCAGCCCAGAAUGAAGAUUACACUUCCCUGCUUUCUUCCCGAAUCCUAGCCAUGCUGGCCCAUGUGAUGAAUUAAAGAUGGCUACUGAUUCUUUGGUCCUUCUUCCUUCAAGAGGAAGAGUUUGUUUGGACUUCCUCUCCUCUUAAAUCUGGGCUGGCCUGUGACUUAUUGGACCAACAGAAUACAGUGGAAAUGAUGCUCUGCCAAUUCCGGACUUUGGCCCUUAAGGAAACUGGCAGAUUCUGCCAUGGUCUCUUGGAUCCAUGGCUGCCAAGGAAAAGGUCCAACCACUCUGCUGGAGACCCCCCUGGAGAAGCCCUAAGACCUCACGGAAAGGAAUUAGGGACCCGGCUGAGCUCAGCACUGCGGUCUUCCCAAACCAUCUUGGUCCUCCAGAUGAAACCAAUCAUCAGCUGGACGCGGCCAAGUGACUAGUCAACGCCCAUGGAUAAGAAGGACCGCCCAGCUGAGCCCUGGCCGAAUUUCAUACCCGCAAAACUGUAGAAAAUAAUCAACAUGAUUAUUGUUUGGGGAGUGUCUGUUGGGUACCAAUACAUAACCAGAACAGACCAUGAGAUAGAAGGUAUUUGUUGAGGAUGCUGUAACAAUUACACCAUCUGGAGGUCUGGCCGCCUCCGGAUAUUUUGUCCUACAUGAAAAGUAGACUCUGUUUGUUUAAGCUUUGAUGAUACCUUGGGUCGUGGCUCAUGGCCUCAGUUUCCCCACAAUUAUUCAUUGGAGCAUUAACGCCUGCCCUGUUACCUCCUUUUGCAUGUAAUACAAACAGUGCGUAUCCAAAAAGACCAUGGGGCGUGCCCAAGUCGUUAUGAUACAUUUCAUGUGUCCGUAAUCGGAUAUGAACUUGUCGGGGGGCCAACUGCAAUGGGUUUUGGAAUCAGAUAUGUUGGGACUGGAGGCUCAACUCUGCUACUUUCUAAUGUGAAAAAAUCGGACCAGCCACUGAAUCUCUCUGAGCUUUGUUUCCUCAUCAAUAAAAAACAGACGAUGCCUA